rnacentral:rRNA from 1 species
UACGGGGGGGGCAAGCGUUGUUCGGAAUUACUGGCGUAAGCGCGCGCAGGCGGUCUUCCAAGUCAGUGGUGAAAGCCCGGAGCUCAACUCCGGAACUGCCAUUGAAACUGUUAGACUUGAGGACGAGAGAGGUGAGUGGAAUUCCCAGUGUAGAGGUGAAAUUCGUAGAUAUUGGGAAGAACACCGGUGGCGAAGGCGGCUCACUGGCUCGUAUCUGACGCUCAGGCGCGAUAGCGUGGGGAUCAAACAGG